GACGAACGCUGGCGGCGUGCUUAACACAUGCAAGUCGAACGGAAAGGCCCUGCUUUUGUGGGGUGCUCGAGUGGCGAACGGGUGAGUAACACGUGAGUAACCUGCCCUUGACUUUGGGAUAACUUCAGGAAACUGGGGCUAAUACCGGAUAGGAGCUCCUGCUGCAUGGUGGGGGUUGGAAAGUUUCGGCGGUUGGGGAUGGACUCGCGGCUUAUCAGCUUGUUGGUGGGGUAGUGGCUUACCAAGGCUUUGACGGGUAGCCGGCCUGAGAGGGUGACCGGCCACAUUGGGACUGAGAUACGGCCAAGACUCCUACGGGAGGCAGCAGUGGGGAAUAUUGCACAAUGGGCGGAAGCCUGAUGCAGCAACGCAGCGUGCGGGAUGACGGCCUUCGGGUUGUAAACCGCUUUCGCCUGUGACGAAGCGUGAGUGACGGUAAUGGGUAAAGAAGCACCGGCUAACUACGUG
rnacentral:rRNA from 1 species